CGGCACGCCUAACACAUGCAAGUCGAGCGAGGUAGCAAUACCUAGCGGCAGACGGGUGCGUAACAUGUGGGAAUCUGCCUUUUGGUUCGGAACAACACGGGGAAACCUGUGCUAAUACCGGAUAAGUCCUUACGGAGAAAGUUUUAAUGCCAAAAGAUGAGCCCGCAUUUGAUUAGCUAGUUGGUGAGGUAAAAGCUCACCAAGGCGAUAAUCAAUAGCUGAUUCGAGAGGAUGAUCAGCCACACUGGGACUGAGGCACGGACCAGACUUC
rnacentral:rRNA from 1 species